rnacentral:lncRNA from 1 species
AUUGCCAGAUUUAGAUCACAAUUAACAAAUUUACGCAUGGCUAUUGAAACUCUAGAACAAGGACGAUUGAAUUCUUAUUUCAUUCCACGCCGAACGCUUGUAGCUACAUUGAUAAAUAUAAACAAUCAUUUGCCGAGAGACGUUUCCGCUCAUUGAGCCGAUUCGGAAUGACAAUUUAUUUAAAUAUUAUCAAUGGAUAACAGUAAUUGCAGUAGCACUCCCAAAUAUAAUUCGAUUAUUUAUAAAUAUUCCACUUAUGAAUCUGGAUCAGUCCUUUGACUUAUUUGAGAUCAUAAGUUUCCCUGUGUUCUAUCCUACAAUUAACACAUUCGCAUACUAUCAAUUAGAACAUUCAUUUAUCGCUUUGUCGAAAAACCGUCAGUCAUAUAUAUUACUAAAUACAUAUGAGGUACUGAAAUGCCGUACCGGUACAGUGGCAAUAUGCUCACCAGAGACGGCUAUUUGGCAAAACCCAUAUCAAAUCUGCGAAUACGCACUAUUCAUGGGUAACGAAAGAGUAGCUGCU